AUUGAACGCUGGCGGCAGGCCUAACACAUGCAAGUCGAGCGGAUGAAGGGAGCUUGCUCCUGGCUUCAGCGGCGGACGGGUGAGUAAUGCCUAGGAAUCUGCCUGGUAGUGGGGGAUAACGUCCGGAAACGGGCGCUAAUACCGCAUACGUCCUGAGGGAGAAAGUGGGGGGUCUUCGGACCUCACGCUAUCUGAUGAGCCUAGGUCGGAUUAGCUAGUUGGUGGGGUAAAGGCCUACCAAGGCGACGAUCCGUAACUGGUCUGAGAGGAUGAUCAGUCACACUGGAACUGAGACACGGUCCAGACUCCUACGGGAGGCAGCAGUGGGGAAUAUUGGGCAAUGGGCGAAAGCCUGAUGCAGCCAUGCCGCGUGUGUGAAGAAGGUCUUCGGAUUGUAAAGCACUUUAAGUUGGGAGGAAGGGCAGUAAGUUAAUACCUUGCUGUUUUGACGGUACCAACAGAAUAAGCACCGGCUAACUUCGUG
rnacentral:rRNA from 1 species